AACGAACGCUGGCGGCAUGCCUAACACAUGCAAGUCGAACGAGACCUUCGGGCCUAGUGGCGCACGGGUGCGUAACGCGUGGGAAUCUGCCCUUGGGUUCGGAAUAACAGUUGGAAACGACUGCUAAUACCGGAUGAUGACGUACGUCCAAAGAUUUAUCGCCCAAGGAUGAGCCCGCGUAGGAUUCGCUAGUUGGUGAGGUAAAGGCUCACCAAGGCGACGAUCCUUAGCUGGUCGGAGAGGAGGACAAGCCACACUGGGGAUGAGGCACGGCCUAGACUCGUACGCAGGGGUGCAGUGGGGAGUAUUGGACACGGGGGGCAAGCGUGACAAAGCAAUGCGGGGGGAGAGGUGAAGGGCGUAGGGUUGUGAAGCCCUUUUAGCCGGGAUGAUAAUGACGGUACCGGGAGAAGAAGCACCGGCUAACUACGUG
rnacentral:rRNA from 1 species